rnacentral:misc_RNA from 1 species
UACGGAGGAUCCAAGCGUUAUCCGGAAUCAUUGGGUUUAAAGGGUGCGUAGGCGGAUGAUUAAGUCAGUGGUGAAAGUCUGCAGCUCAACUGUAGAACUGCCAUUGAAACUGUUGUCCUUGAGUAAUUAUGAAGUGGUUAGAAUAUGUAGUGUAGCGGUGAAAUGCAUAGAUAUUACAUAGAAUACCGAUUGCGAAGGCAGAUCACUAAUAAGUUACUGACGCUGAUGGACGAAAGCGUAGGUAGCGAACAGG